CCUACGGGAGGCAGCAGUGAGGAAUAUUGGUCAAUGGGCGGGAGCCUGAACCAGCCAAGUCGCGUGAGGGAAGACGGUCCUAUGGAUUGUAAACCUCUUUUGGCGGGGAGCAAUGCCGUGCACGCGUGCCUGGAGGGAGAGUACCCGCAGAAUAAGCAUCGGCUAAUACCGUGCCAGCAGCCGCGGUAAUAGGGAGGACGGGAGGUUUAUCCGGGUUUAUGGGGUUAAAGGGGUGGGAAGGCGGAUUUUAAAGUCAGCGGGAAAAUGUCCGGGGCCAACCCGGGCCGGCCGUUGAAACUGGGGAUCUUGAGUGGGCGGGAGGUAUGCGGAAUGCGUGGUGUAGCGGUGAAAUGCAUAGAUAUCACGUAGAACCCCGAUUGCGAAGGCAGCAUACCGGCGCCCGACUGACGCUGAGGCACGAAAGCGUGGGGAUCGAACAGGAUUAGAUACCCCAGUAGUC
rnacentral:rRNA from 1 species